AGCGAACGCUGGCGGCAGGCUUAACACAUGCAAGUCGAGCGGGCACUUUCGGGUGUCAGCGUCGGACGGGUGUGUACCGCGUGGGAACGUGCCCUCUGGUUCGGAAUAACUCAGGGAAACUUGAGCUAAUACCGGAUACGCCCUCUUGGGGAAAGUCUUGCUGUCGGAGGAUCGGCCCGCGUCUGAUUAGCUAGUUGGUGUGGUAACGGCUCACCAAGGGGAAGAUCAGUAGCUGGUCUGAGAGGAUGAUCAGCCACACUGGGACUGAGACACGGCGCAGACUCCUACGGGAGGCAGCAGUGGGGAAUAUUGGACAGUGGGCGCAAGCCUGAUCCAGCCAUGCCGCGUGAGUGAUGAAGGCCUUAGGGUUGGAAAGCUCGUUUAUCCGGGACGAUAAUGACGGUACCGGAGGAAUAAGCCCCGGCUAACUUCGUG
rnacentral:rRNA from 1 species